AGCUCUGCACAGUGGCAGUAUCUUAGCCAAUGAGGUCUAUCUGAGGCAUGAUUAUUGCUCAUUGCAAACUUUUCCCAAUACCUCGCCAUGACAACUUGAAAUAUAGGCAAUGUUUAACAGUCUCGAUAGAGA
ensembl:snRNA U4 U4 spliceosomal RNA